UACGUAGGGGGCAAGCGUUGUCCGGAAUCAUUGGGCGUAAAGCGCGUGUAGGCGGCUCGGUAAGUCUGCUGUGAAAGUCCAGGGCUCAACCCUGGGAUGCCGGUGGAUACUGUCGAGCUCGAGUCCGGAAGAGGCGAGUGGAAUUCCUGGUGUAGCGGUGAAAUGCGCAGAUAUCAGGAGGAACACCGGUGGCGAAGGCGGAUCUCUGGGCCUGAUCUGACGCUGAGGCGCGAAAGCUAGGGGAGCGAACAGG
rnacentral:rRNA from 1 species